UGCUCAACUGUCGUUAUGAAGAGAAGAAAGAAAUUAAUUCAGGUUUGAAACAACUUGAGGCCUAUUCCAGCCACAAAUGCCAGCACCAGUGUACAAAGACCUCCUGCACCAGGAAUCCCAGCCACAUUACUGCCAAACAAAGCAAACACGGACAGCCCCAACACCAGGAAAGAGCGUUUCAGGAUGAGAUUUCCCUAUGUGCAAAGACAAAAGACACAAAUCAUCAACAAUCAUGAAACCUGUUACCCUGACAUCAUCAAUUCCACAUCAGUUUUUGAAUUGAACAUGAACUUCGCAAUCAUAAAGUUGUUCACAUACCUGGUCUCUGCUGGGGAAGUAAUGUAGAAAGUACCCCAAGGCCACACCAGCGACCGCACCACCUAACACCUCCAGUGGUCCCCUCAGCACGUUUAACCAUACAGCGCCUGCAGAGGGCAACAGAGAGCACUCUAAUAUAAAGUGGACCACUAACACCAAAGAAGUCCAUAAUACCUGGGCUCUGUUCAAAAUCACCCUAUAUUUGAGGGAUAAGCCAUUUGUAGUGGUGUCCGAAGCCAUUGUGGACGUUAUCAAGAACACUCGUUCAAUCCUAUAAUGCACUGUAAUAAUGAGUGUGCAACUGGAAAACACUUAAUGACUAGAGAAUACCCAUAAUGCACUGUGAGAGUUGUGCUGAAUGAAUUCCCACUUAUCGCAGCUGAAUCAUCCAUCCAUUUCCUUUUUUGUACCACUGAUCCAUGGGUUCAAAAGUUCCAGUUUGGUCACAUCCCUCCAUAAAACAUUCUUCCACAACUCCACAGGUAUAUCCAAAUGAAUUUAAGCAUAUUCAAGUCAGCUUUUAUGUUAUUUUUGGUCAAGAGUGGCAUUCGGCAAAGCUGCAAAGCUUAUGAGCAGAAGAACACCAUCUCCAUGGUCAAAACUGGUGGUGGUCCAGUCUUGUUAUGGGUGUUCUUUGCUGUUGCAGGAAGUAGAAAUCCUGACUGUAUGAAGGACAUCAUGAACUCUUUGAAGAAUCAAGCCGUUUUGGCAAAGAUGGUGACGCCUUCGGUGCAGACUGAAGCUUGAUGAUCAAUGGACUUUCCUGCAGGACAGCUGUCCCAAAGUAUACAUCCAAAUGAUCUACUUAAGCUUGGGUCAGGGAUCAGUCGCAGAAUGUUCUUGAGUGGCCUAUACAGUCUCCAGAUUGAAAUCUCAUUGAAAAUAUUUGGUGGAAUUUGUAGAAAGCAGUGGUAACAUGGAAACCAAAGACUAUCAGUGAUCUGGAAGCUUUUUCAAGCGCUUUUGAUCUUUAGUGUAAAUACAAAAGAAUAUAGCACAUCAUCUAUCCUAAACAUAUUCUGUGUGUCUAAAAGCA